GAUGAAGAACGCAGCGAAAUGCGAUACGUAAUGUGAAUUGCAGAAUUCCGUGAAUCAUCGAAUCUUUGAACGCACAUUGCGCCCCCUGGCAUUCCGGGGGGCAUGCCUGUCCGAGCGUCAUUUCUGCCCUCCAGCCCGGCUGGGUGUUGGGCGCUGUCCCCCCGGGGACACGCCCCAAAGGCAGUGGCGGCGCCGCGUCGGGUCCUCGAGCGUAUGGGGCUUUGUCACCCGCUCGGGACGGACUCGUCGGCGCUGGUCUUCCUCCAGGCGACCCUUCGGGGCUCGUCUUCCUUCGGUUGACCUCGGAUCAGGUAGGGUUACCCGCUGAACUUAAGCAUAUCAAUAAGCGGAGGA
rnacentral:misc_RNA from 1 species